rnacentral:lncRNA from 1 species
CGUAUUAUGGUAUACCGUUGUCCGUCCGUCUGUCCGUCCGUCCGUCCGUCCGUCGUCCACACUUCGGACAAUAACUCAAAAACGCUUUCACCAAUUUCCAAUAAACUUAAAGUGAAUUGUUUUUAUAUCUAUUGACGUAAGCUCCCUUUCGUUUUUUUUUAAUUUCAGAUUUUAGUUUUGGGAUUUAUGGGGCUUUAUUCAUAAAAAAUGGGGAUUUCAACACUUCGGACAAUAACUCAAAAAGGUUUUGACCAAUGUCCAUGAAACUUUGGUAAAUUGUUUAUAUCUAUUGAACGUAAGCUCCCUUUCGUUUUUUUUUAAUUUCAGAUUUUAAGUUUUGGAUUUAUGGGGCUUUAUUCAUAAAAAAGGGGGGAUUUUCAACACUUCGGACAAUAACUCAAAAAGGCUUCCACCAAUGUCCAUGAAACUUUGGUGAAUUGUUUAUAUCUAUUGAUGUAAGCUCCCUUUCAAUUUUUAUAAAUUUCAGAUUUUAAGUUUUGGAUUUAUGGGGCUUUAUUCAUAAAAAAAGGGGGAUUUUUAACACUUCGGACAAUAACUCAAAAAGGCUUUCCCCAAUGUCCAUGAAACUUUGGUGAAUUGUUUAUAUCUAUUGAUGUAAGCUCACUUUUAAUUUUUAUAAAUUUCAGAUUUUAAGUUUUGGAUUUAUGGGGCUUUAUUCAUAAAAAAAGGGGGAUUUUCAACACUUCGGACAAUAACUCAAAAAGGCUUUCACCAAUGUCCAUGAAACUUUGGUGAAUUGUUUAUAUCUAUUGAUGUAAACUCCCUUUCAAUUUUGUAAAAUUUCAGAUUUCACAUUUUCUUGAUAUGAAUUUUUAUGCUUAAAAAAGGGGGAAUUUUCCAAUAAAAGACAAGUUAAAAGAGCAACAGGCGUAUUAUGCGCUAAAGCGCAGCCCUUUAUUGGUUCUUCCCUCGCCGGGAUUCGAACCCAUGCUACUGUGAUAACGUGAC